rnacentral:rRNA from 1 species
GACGAACGCUGGCGGCGUGCCUAAUACAUGCAAGUCGAACGCAGGGGGGACGGGUGAGUAACACGUGGGUAACCUCCCAUCAGAGGGGAUAACACUUGGAAACAGGUGCUAAACUGAUAUUGAUGGAUGGACCCGCGGUGCAUUAGCUAGUUGGUGAGGUAACGGCCCACCAAGGCCACGAUGCAUAGGCGACCGGGGAGGGUGAUCGGCCACAUUGGGACGUAGACACGGCCCAGACUCCUACGGAAGGCAGCAGUAGGGAAUUUUCGGCAAUGGACGAAAGUCUGACCGAGCAACGCCGCGUGAGUGAAGAAGGUUUCCGAAUCGUAAAACUCUGUUGUUGGAGAAGCGGUAUCUAACCAGAAAGCCACGGCUAACUACGUGCCAGCAGCCGCGGUAAUAC